UGUGCAGGCGGUCUAGCAAGUUGGAUGUGAAAGCUCCCGGCUCAACUGGGAGAGGUCGUUCAAUACUGUUAGACUAGAGAAUAGGAGAGGGAGGUGGAAUUCCGGGUGUAGUGGUGAAAUGCGUAGAUAUCCGGAGGAACACCAGUGGCGAAAGCGGCCUCCUGGACUAUUUCUGACGCUAAGACACGAAAGCUAGGGUAGCAAACAGGAUUAGAUACCCUGGUAGUCC
rnacentral:rRNA from 1 species